rnacentral:rRNA from 1 species
CGUGAAUGCGCAGAUAUCAGGAGGAACACCGAUGGCGAAGGCAGGUCUCUGGGCCGCAACUGACGCUGAGGAGCGAAAGCAUGGGGAGCGAACAGGAUUAGAUACCCUGGUAGUCCAUGCCGUAAACGUUGGGCACUAGGUGUGGGGCUCAUUCCACGAGUUCCGUGCCGCAGCAAACGCAUUAAGUGCCCCGCCUGGGGAGUACGGCCGCAAGGCUAAAACUCAAAGGAAUUGACGGGGGCCCGCACAAGCGGCGGAGCAUGCGGAUUAAUUCGAUGCAACGCGAAGAACCUUACCAAGGCUUGACAUGCACGGGAAGCCACCAGAGAUGGUGGUCUCUUUGGACACUCGUGCACAGGUGGUGCAUGGUUGUCGUCAGCUCGUGUCGUGAGAUGUUGGGUUAAGUCCCGCAACGAGCGCAACCCUCGUCCCAUGUUGCCAGCGGGUUAUGCCGGGGACUCAUGGGAGACUGCCGGGGUCAACUCGGAGGAAGGUGGGGAUGACGUCAAAUCAUCAUGCCCCUUAUGUCUUGGGCUUCACGCAUGCUACAAUGGCCGGUACAAAGGGCUGCGAUACCGUAAGGUGGAGCGAAUCCCAAAAAGCCGGUCUCAGUUCGGAUUGGGGUCUGCAACUCGACCCCAUGAAGUCGGAGUCGCUAGUAAUCGCAGAUCAGCAACGCUGCGGUGAAUACGUUCCCGGGCCUUGUACACACCGCCCGUCAAGUCACGAAAGUCGGUAACACCCGAAGCCCAUGGCCCAACCGUUCGCGGGGGGAGUGUCGAAUAGUAGAUAUGGAAUGUUCC